GUACAAACUCAACCAUUAAGUCUUCAUGAUGCUGCAGAAGUGAGGGGAAGGAACCUGGUUUGCUGGCAUCACUGAUGGAUGUGCACUAGCCUCAGAGGAUGCUGAGGUGGCCCGUGCUAUGCUUCCUCGUGC
ensembl:snoRNA SNORA66 Small nucleolar RNA SNORA66